GUCCACGCCGUAAACGGUGGGUACUAGGUGUGGGGACAUUCCACGUUCUCCGUGCCGUAGCUAACGCAUUAAGUACCCCGCCUGGGGAGUACGGCCGCAAGGCUAAAAACUCAAAGGAAUUGACGGGGCCCCGCACAAGCGGCGGAGCAUGCGGAUUAAUUCGAUGCAACGCGAAGAACCUUACCUGGGUUUGACAUAUGCCGGAAACAUCUAGAGAUAGGUGCCCCUUUUUGGUCGGUUUACAGGUGGUGCAUGGCUGUCGU
rnacentral:rRNA from 1 species